AUUGAACGCUGGCGGCAUGCUUUACACAUGCAAGUCGAACGGUAACAGGUUAAGCUGACGAGUGGCGAACGGGUGAGUAAUGCAUCGGAACGUGCCCGAUCGUGGGGGAUAACGCAGCGAAAGCUGCGCUAAUACCGCAUACGAUCUGAGGAUGAAAGCGGGGGACCGUAAGGCCUCGCGCGAUCGGAGCGGCCGAUGUCAGAUUAGGUAGUUGGUGGGGUAAAGGCUCACCAAGCCGACGAACGGGAGCUGGUCUGAGAGGAAGACCAGCCACACUGGGACUGAGACACGGCACAGAGGCACACGGGAGGCAGCAGUGGGGAAAUUUGGGCAAUGGGCGAAGACCUGUGCUAGAAAUGCCGCGUGCAGGAAGAAGGCCUUCGGGGUGUAAGCUGCUGUUGUACGGAGCGAAAAGGCUCUCUCUAAUACAGGGGGCUCAUGACGGUACCGUAAGAAUAAGCACCGGCUAACUACGUGCCAGCAGCCGCAGUAA
rnacentral:rRNA from 1 species